GGUGCAGUAGCGCAGUGGUUGCGCUAGUGUGUUGAGUGCAGUAGGUUUGGGUUCAACCCCCAUGCCACACCU
rnacentral:tRNA from 1 species